rnacentral:lncRNA from 1 species
CUACCAUCACUUGGCUUGCGACAAUGGAGGCAACCCUACAUAGACACACUAAUGUUAGUUGUGGUACCAGAAUCUAUCCACUAGUGUCUGUUGGUACAAAAGUUAAAUUACCCUUAGAACAAACAAAAUUAAGACACGUACCUUUCUUUACGCGCCAUGCAUGAUAGUUAGUGCAUUGCUUCUUUUGGUUUCCUGGAGUUUUACAGAAAAAACAACAGUUUUUGUCUGAGCCUUUUGUUGUUUUUUUUGUUGUACUAGAACCGUAACAAAUUUACCUAUUUGCUUUUUCUUGUUCUUUUUAUUCUUUGAGAUCACUACUAAAUGAGUACUCUCUGUCCUCUCAAACUUGAGUAUUUCUUUCUUUUGAACACAAUGUGAAAUGAGUUCAUUCAGAUUCCAAGAUUC